rnacentral:rRNA from 1 species
UACGGAGGGAGCUAGCGUUGUUCGGAAUUACUGGGCGUAAAGCGCGCGUAGGCGGUUAUUCAAGUCAGAGGUGAAAGCCCGGGGCUCAACCCCGGAACUGCCUUUGAAACUAGGUAACUAGAAUCUUGGAGAGGUCAGUGGAAUUCCGAGUGUAGAGGUGAAAUUCGUAGAUAUUCGGAAGAACACCAGUGGCGAAGGCGACUGACUGGACAAGUAUUGACGCUGAGGUGCGAAAGCGUGGGGAGCAAACAGG